rnacentral:lncRNA from 1 species
UAACUCUCAUAUGGAGUCUCCGGAUAGCUUCGGUCAAAAUGAAUCAAAUCAUCCUCAGGAUAUAACGAGCAAUUUGGUAAAAUAAAUUUGUCGGUUUCUUAUACGGUUGCGAAGAUUAAGCGAUAACAAGAAAAACAGUGUUCGGGGAGAUAACACUCUUAUAUGAGAAAGUAUUCGGUUUAGCAGGGUCAGUUUCAAAAGCGCAUAAACUGUUCGAUAUCAUAUUUCAUUUAUCUUAGCGACAUCUUGCGAAACAAAAAAACAGCGAAGGAAAUAAAAUUAGGCGGAAGAAAAAAAAAAAAAUAAUAAUCAGAAGAAAUCCAAUAGGUCUUUCCACGGAAAAGUGGAAAGACCUAAUAAUCAGAAGAAAAGCAAUA